rnacentral:tRNA from 1 species
GAGGGUAUAGCUCAGUGGUAGAGCGCAUGUUUAGCAUGCAAGAGGUCCUAGGUUCAAUCUCCAGUACCUCCA